rnacentral:rRNA from 1 species
CCCUUAGAUGUUCUGGGCUGCACGCGUGCUACACUGAUAUUGCCAAUAUGUCAUUCUUAUCCGAAAUGGAUUGGGUAAUCAAGUAACGAAAUUUCAUGCUUGGAAUCGGUAAUUGCAAUUUUAUCGUGAACGAGGAAUUCCUAGUAAGCACUAGUCAUCAGCUAAUGUUGAUUAUGUCCCUGCCCUUUGUACACACCGCCCGUCGCUACUACUGAUUGGGUGUUCAAGUGAGAUGCUUAGACCCUUGUUGCAUGGUUCAUUAUUGUGCUCCGAAAGGAAAAAGUUUCAAGCUUGAGUGUCUAGAGGAAGUAAAAGUCGUAACA